GACGAACGCUAGCGGCGUGCCUAAUACAUGCCAGUAGAACGCUGAAGAGAGGAGCUUGCUCUUCUUGGAUGAGUUGCGAACGGGUGAGUAACGCGUAGGUAACCUGCCUUGUAGCGGGGGAUAACUAUUGGAAACGAUAGCUAAUACCGCAUAACAAUGGAUGACACAUGUCAUUUAUUUGAAAGGGGCAAUUGCUCCACUACAAGAUGGACCUGCGUUGUAUUAGCUAGUAGGUGAGGUAAUGGCUCACCUAGGCGACGAUACAUAGCCGACCUGAGAGGGUGAUCGGCCACACUGGGAAUGAGACACGGCUCAGACUCCUACGGGAGGCAGCAGUAGGGAAUCUUCGGACAUGGGGGCAAACCUGACCGAGCAACGACGCGUGAGUGAAGAAGGUUUUCGGAUCGUAAAGCUCUGUUGUAAGUCAAGAACGGGUGUGAGAGUGGAAAGUUCACACUGUGACGGUAGCUUACCAGAAAGGGACGGCUAACUACGUG
rnacentral:rRNA from 1 species